rnacentral:rRNA from 1 species
CCGAGUCUUAACUGGGCGUUAAGUUGCAGGGUAUAGACCCGAAACCCGGUGAUCUAGCCAUGGGCAGGUUGAAGGUUGGGUAACACUAACUGGAGGACCGAACCGACUAAUGUUGAAAAAUUAGCGGAUGACUUGUGGCUGGGGGUGAAAGGCCAAUCAAACCGGGAGAUAGCUGGUUCUCCCCGAAAGCUAUUUAGGUAGCGCCUCGUGAACUCAUCUUCGGGGGUAGAGCACUGUUUCGGCUAGGGGGUCAUCCCGACUUACCAACCCGAUGCAAACUACGAAUACCGAAGAAUGUUAUCACGGGAGACACACGGCGGGUGCUAACGUCCGUCGUGAAGAGGGAAACAACCCAGACCGCCAGCUAAGGUCCCAAAGUCACAGUUAAGUGGGAAACGAUGUGGGAAGGCACAGACAGCCAGGAUGUUGGCUUAGAAGCAGCCAUCAUUUAAAGAAAGCGUAAUAGCUCACUGGUCGAGUCGGCCUGCGCGGAAGAUGUAACGGGGCUAAACUGUGCACCGAAGCUGCGGCAGCGACACUAUGUGUUGUUGGGUAGGGGAGCGUUCUGUAAGCCUGCGAAGGUGGCCUGUGAGGGUUGCUGGAGGUAUCAGAAGUGCGAAUGCUGACAUAAGUAACGAUAAUGCGGGUGAAAAGCCCGCACGCCGGAAGACCAAGGGUUCCUGUCCAACGUUAAUCGGGGCAGGGUGAGUCGACCCCUAAGGCGAGGCCGAAAGGCGUAGUCGAUGGGAAACAGGUUAAUAUUCCUGUACUUGGUGUUACUGCGAAGGGGGGACGGAGAAGGCUAUGUUAGCCGGGCGACGGUUGUCCCGGUUUAAGCAUGUAGGCGGAGGUUCCAGGUAAAUCCGGUACCUUUUAACGCUGAGGUGUGAUGACGAGGCACUACGGUGCUGAAGUAACAA